rnacentral:rRNA from 1 species
UACGUAGGGGGCAAGCGUUGUCCGGAAUCAUUGGGCGUAAAGCGCGUGUAGGCGGCUCGGUAAGUCUGCUGUGAAAGUCCAGGGCUCAACCCUGGAAUGCCGGUGGAAACUGUCGGGCUGGAGUCCGGAAGAGGCGAGUGGAAUUCCUGGUGUAGCGGUGAAAUGCGCAGAUAUCAGGAGGAACACCAAUGGCGAAGGCAGCUCGCUGGGACGGUACUGACGCUGAGACGCGAAAGCGUGGGGAGCAAACAGG